rnacentral:snoRNA from 1 species
GGAGAUGAAAGUCCCAUCUCGAUACAACUUUUGUCCUGGUGUGCUAGAGUCCUCAAGGAGAGUCUACUGGUCUGGAUUCACUGGCAGAGGCACUCAGUGCCCCUGUUAGUGUGCAGGUCAGAGACUUUC